ensembl:misc_RNA Y_RNA Y RNA
UACUGGUCCAAAGGUAAUGAUUAACCUCAAUAGAUUGUUCACAGUCAGUUACAGAUUCAGCUCCUUGUUCUACUCUUUACCCCCUUCUCACUAUUGUGCUUGACUAGUCAAAA